rnacentral:lncRNA from 1 species
GUAUUUUCACCAUUUCGGUGGUGAGACAGAUUUUUCUGUCGGCAAACGAAAUGUUCUCUCACCAAAUCUCUGAAGACUGUAUGAAUGUGUACAUGUAUUUGUAUUUGCUUUCUUUUUGCGUUAGAAGUUUUUUUUUUUAGAAAAAGCUAUAAGGAAUAAAGAACACGAAGAAAAUAAGGGAAAUGAUUUGCAAGAGGACAAUAUUUUUUUAAUGUGAUAUAAUCAGA